rnacentral:rRNA from 1 species
AGAGUUUGAUCCUGGCUCAGAAAGAACGCUAGCUAUAUGCUUAACACAUGCAAGUCGAACGUUGUUUUCGAGGAGCUGGGCAGAAGGAAAAGAGGCUCUUAGCUAAAGGAAUCUUUUCUUACCCAGGAGGUGAGAAGAGUUGAGAACAAAGUGGCGAACGAAUGCGUAAUGCGUGAGAAUCUGCCAAACAGUUCAGGCCAAAUCCUGAAGAAAGCUAAAACACGCUGCUUGAUGAGCCUACGUAGUAUUAGGUAGCUGGUCAGGUAAAGGCUGACCAAGCCAAUUAUGCUUAGCUGGUCUUUUCCGAUGAUUAGCCACACUGGGACUAAGACAUAGUCCUGACUCCCACAGGGAUCAGCAGUGGGGAAUCUUGGACAAUGGGCAAAAGCCCGAUCCAGCAAUAUUGCGCGAGUGAAGACGGGAAAUUCCACUCGAAAAGCUCUUUCGUCGAGUGCUCGAUCAUGACAAGACUCGAGGAAGAAGCACCGGCUAACUCCAUACCAGCAGCCGCAAUAAGACGGGGAGGGGGGACGGGGGGCAAGUGUUCUCCUGAAUAACUGGGCAUAAAGGGCAUGUAGGCGGUGAAUAGGGUUGAAAGUGAAAGCCGCCAAAAAUUGGCGAAAUGCUCUGGAAACUAAUUCACUUGAGUGAGAUAGAAGAGAGUGGAAUUUCGUGUGUAGGGGUAAAAUACGGAAAUCUACAAAGGAAUGCUAAAAGCGAAGGCAGCUCUCUGGGUCCCUACCAAUACUGAGGUACAAAAGCAUGGGGAGCGAACAGGAUUAGAUACCCUGGUAGUCCAUGCCAUAAACGAUGAGUGUUCGCCCUUGGUCUACGCGGAUAAGGGGCCCAGCUAUCACGUGAUACCCUCUGCCUAGGGAGUACGGUCGCAAGACCGAAACUCAAAGGAAUUGAUGGGUGCUUGCACAAGCAGUGGAGCAUGUAGUUUAAUUCGAUACAACGCGCAAAACCUUACCAGCCCUUGACAUAUAAAUAAGAAAACCUUUCCUUAACAGGAUGGUACUAACUUUCAUACAGGUGCUGCAUGGCUGUCGUCAGCUCGUGUCGUGAGAUAUUUUGUCAAGUCCUAUAACGAGCGAAACCCUCAUUUUACGUUGCUGAGACAUACGCCUAAGGAGAAAGUCUUUGCAACCGAAGUGAGCCGAGGAGCCGAGUGAUGUGCCAGCGCUACUAUUUGAGUGCCAGCACGUAGCUGUGCUAUCUGUAAGAAGGUAGCCAGCGCCUUUCGAAGCACUUUCUAUUUCUAGAUAGAAAGGGCCUUUCUCGCUUGUUUAGUAAAGUCAUGUUUUUUGCCUUAUCUUGUAGGUGAUGACGACGUCGAGUUGACAACAGAGAAAGACUCGGCAUUCAGGCGAGCUACCUAAUGGUGUGGUACGUAGUGGGUUUAGUACGCCCCUCCCAAACAAACGGCUCUGAAACAAACAAAAAGGUGCGUGCCGCACUCACGAAGGACUUCCAAUGAUAUACUGGAGGAAGUGGGGAUGACGUCAAGUCCGCAUGACCCUUAUGGGCUAGGCCACACACAUGCUACAAUGGCAAUAAUGGGAAGCAAUGCCGUAAGGUAUAGUGAAUCCGAAAAUAUUGCCUCAGUUCGGAUUGUUCUCUGCAACUCGAGAACAUGAAGUUGGAAUCGCUAGUACUCGGGCCCUGUACACACCGCCUAUCAUACCCUGGUAAUUGGUUUCGCCCGAAGCAUCGGACCAAUGAUCACCCAUGAUUUCUAUGGCACACUAGUGCCACAAAGGGCUUUGGUGGUCUUACUGGCGCAUUCUACGGUGGGGUCUUCGACUGGGGUGAAGUUGUAACAAGGUAGCCAUAGGGGAACCUGUGGCUA